GUUGGAACACCAGUUCUCAUACAAUCACUGAAGUUAUUCGCUGUCAAGCCUGGUCAGUAUCUGGAUGGGUGACCGCUUGGAAAUACCAGGUGCUGUAA